GACGAACGCUGGCGGCGUGCCUAAUACAUGCAAGUUGAGCGCUGAAGGUUGGUACUUGUACCAACUGGAUGAGCAGCGCACGGGUGAGUAACGCGUGGGGAAUCUGCCUUUGAGCGGGGGACAACAUUUGGAAACGAAUGCUAAUACCGCAUAAAAACUUUAAACACAAGUUUUAAGUUUGAAAGAUGCAAUUGCAUCACUCAAAGAUGAUCCCGCGUUGUAUUAGCUAGUUGGUGAGGUAAAGGCUCACCAAGGCGAUGAUACAUAGCCGACCUGAGAGGGUGAUCGGCCACAUUGGGACUGAGACACAGCCCAAACACCUACAGGAGGCAGCAGUAGGGAAUCUUCGGCAAUGGACGAAAGUCUGACCGAGCAACGCCGCGUGAGUGAAGAAGGUUAUCGGAUCGUAAAACUCUGUUGGUAGAGAAGAACGUUGGUGAGAGUGGAAAGCUCAUCAAGUGACGGUAACUACCCAGAAAGGGACGGCUAACUACGUG
rnacentral:rRNA from 1 species